rnacentral:rRNA from 1 species
UACAGAGGUCCCGAGCGUUGUUCGGAUUCACUGGGCGUAAAGGGUGCGUAGGUGGCUGGGAAAGUUUGAUGUGAAAGCUCAGGGCUUAACCCUGAAAUGGCAUUGAAUACUAUCUGGCUCGAGGGUUGGAGGGGGGACUGGAAUUCUCGGUGUAGCAGUGAAAUGCGUAGAUAUCGAGAGGAACACCGGUGGCGAAGGCGAGUCCCUGGACAACACCUGACACUGAGGCACGAAAGCUAGGGGAGCAAACAGG